AUUACUUCUUGGCCUUUUGGCUAUAAGAGAGUGUAGUCUCUGUUUUUAACAGUUUAAUAUGUUUCAUCCUCUAUCUGGUGGCAAUUUAUGAAACGGAUUUUUGAUGUAGGGAGAUGAAAUAGGAGCUUUCUUUGCACACUACAUGCAUCCAUCUAGCAUUGCAGUAUCUCCAGGAAAAAUACACCCUCU